UACUGGUAUGUACUAAAGACUUUGACUUGA
rnacentral:piRNA from 1 species